AUACGGAGGAUCCAAGCGUUAUCCGGAUUUAUUGGGUUUAAAGGGUACGUAGGCGGACUCAUAAGUCAGUGGUGAAAUUCUGCAGCUUAACUGUAGCAUUGCCAUUGAUACUGUUUGUCUUGAGUAUAGUUGAGGUAGGCGGAAUGUAGUGUGUAGCGGUGAAAUGCAUAGAUAUACUACGGAACACCGAUUGCGAAGGCAGCUUACUAAACUAUUACUGACGCUGAGGUACGAAAGCGUGGGGAGCAAACAGGAUUAGAUACCCUGGUAGUCCACGCCGUAAACUAUGAUUACUAGUUGUUUGCGAUAUAUUGUAAGCGACUGCGCGAAAGCAUUAAGUAAUCCACCUGGGGGGUACGUUGGCAACAAUGAA
rnacentral:rRNA from 1 species